CGGGUGAGUAAUACUUGGGCAAUCUGCCCUUGAUGGGGGACAACCUGCCGAAAGGCGGGCUAAUACCCCAUAAGACCACGGGAAUGCAUAUUCCAGAGGUCAAAGCUCCGCAAGGGGCGCUUGAGGAGGAGCCCGAGUCCUAUCAUGGUAGUUGGCGGGGUAAUGGCCCACCAAGCCGUCGACGGGUAGCCGACCUGAAAGGGUAACCGGCCACACUGGCACUGAGACACGGGCCAG
rnacentral:rRNA from 1 species